AGCGAACGCUGGCGGCAGGCCUAACACAUGCAAGUCGAACGAACCCUUCGGGGUUAGUGGCGGACGGGUGAGUAACACGUGGGAACGUGCCCUUAGGUUCGGAAUAACUCAGGGAAAGUUGUGCUAAUACCGAAUGUGCUCUUCGGGGGAAAGAUUUAUCGCCUUUAGAAGGGCCCGCGUCUGAUUAGCUAGUUGGUUGAGGUAAUGGCUCACCAAGGCGACGAUCAGUAGCUGGGCUGAGAGGAUGAUCAGCCACAUUGGGACUGAGACACGGCCCAAACUCCUACGGGAGGCAGCAGUGGGGAAUCUUGCGCAAUGGGCGAAAGCCUGACGCAGCCAUGCCGCGUGAAUGAUGAAGGUCUUAGGAUUGUAAAAUUCUUUCACCCGGGACGAUAAUGACGGUACCCGGAGAAGAAGCCCCGGCUAACUUCGUG
rnacentral:rRNA from 1 species